rnacentral:lncRNA from 10 species
AGUGGCCUCGCAGCUGGGGCAAGGGGGACAUCCCCGGCGCCGCGGAGCCGCGAGCGGAGCGAGCGCCCGGGGCGCACCUGAGCCUCCAGCACUCCCCGCGGCCGCGGAAACAUUUUCCUGGGCAUCUAAAAGUAUUGUGGACCUGAGACACUGUGCUUACAGGGCCUACUGGUUUUCACUGUAUGAGACCGAGAAUGGAUUAUGGCAGUUCCUCUUACCUCCGCUGCAUACUUGACUCCAUCCACGGUGUGCUCAGAGCCAUGAUCAUCCGAAGAGCCCCAGUGAAGAUGAAACUGGCGAAGUCGGUAGGGUCCAGGGAGAGGACCCCCUCUCAGCACUGUGAUUCAGAUAAGCUUGGUCAACAGUGAAUUCAUGCUUCUUUUACAGAGCUCUACUUUAACCAAGUGCUCUUAGAGCCAAGGCUUAAUGGACAAAAUGUGGUCAGUUUGCUGGGUGGAUGGUGCCACUCCCAGGACACUGGACUCCUCACAAAAUGAAGUCUGGGGAUAUGUCAAGAUAAAUGAUUGUUCUUUUCUGUCUUUCUUAUUUUGUUUGCUUGUUUCAUUAUUAUUGAAACAUCAUUUUAACAUUUAGGAAAGCAA